rnacentral:rRNA from 1 species
UACAGAGGGGGCAAGCGUUAUUCGGAAUUAUUGGGCGUAAAGCGUGCGCAGGCGGCUUUGCAAGACAGAUGUGAAAUCCCCGGGCUUAACCUGGGAACUGCAUUUGUGACUGCAUGGCUGGAGUGCGGCAGAGGGGAUGGAAUUCCGCGUGUAGCAGUGAAAUGCGUAGAUAUGCGGAGGAACACCGAUGGCGAAGGCAGCACUCUGGGACGGUACUGACGCUGAGACGCGAAAGCGUGGGGAGCAAACAGG